rnacentral:rRNA from 1 species
GACGAACCGUGCGAACGUUAUUCGGAAUCACUGGGCUUAAAGCGCGUGUAGGCGGGACGGCACGUCUGUCGCUGAAAUCCCCCGGCUUAACCGGGGAACUGGCGGAGAUACGACCGUCCUGGAGGGGCGUAGGGGGACCUGGAACUUCCGGUGGAGCGGUGAAAUGCGUUGAGAUCGGAAGGAACGCCCGUGGCGAAAGCGAGGUCCUGGACGCCUACUGACGCUGAGACGCGAAAGCGUGGGGAGCGAACAGG